CAGAGUUAGCCGGUGCUUCCUUUCCGGUACCGUCAUCGAUUCUUCCCCGGCGACAGGGCUUUACAACCCAAGGCCUUCAUCACCCACGCGGCGUUGCUGCGUCAGGCUUUCGCCCAUUGCGCAAAAUUCCUCA
rnacentral:rRNA from 1 species